rnacentral:rRNA from 1 species
AUUAAACGCUGGCGGCAUGCCUUACACAUGCAAGUCGAACGGCAGCACGGGGGCAACCCUGGUGGCGAGUGGCGAACGGGUGAGGAAACCAUCGGAACGUGCCCGAGAGUGGGGGAUAACGCCGCGAAAGCGGCGCUAAUACCGCAUAUUCUCUGAGGAGGAAAGUGGGGGACCGCAAGGCCUCACGCUCCCGGAGCGGCCGAUGUCGGAUUAGCUAGUUGGUGGGGUAAAGGCUUACCAAGGCGACGAUCCGUAGCUGGUCUGAGAGGAUGAUCAGCCACACUGGGACUGAGACACGGCCCAGACUCCUACGGGAGGCAGCAGUAGGGAAUAUUGCACAAUGGAGGAAACUCUGAUGCAGCGACGCCGCGUGAGUGAUGAAGGCCUUCGGGUUGUAAAGCUCUGUUCUCAGGGAAAAAGAAAGUGAUUGUACCUGAGGAGAAAGGACCGGACUAACUUCGUGCCAGCAGCCGCGGUAAU